CGUUGAUGAAGUUUCAGGCGGUACCUCUCCUACUCUGAUUUAUGAUCGAAUAAAAGAGCAUAGGGAAUUUGAUGAAACUAAAGCAGGUGUGAAGGGUCUUGUCGAUGCCGGCUUGGAUAAGGUCCCUCGUAUCUUCAUCCACCCACCCGAAGCUCUCCAUGAUCUACCCUAUUAGCUGGGUUCCAUUCAGAGCCACCGUCAGACCCAUUUGACAAUUCUGGUCAUAGACUUAAACCUAGAGGAGGGCACCUUCAAUUUCAAAUUUAAUGGAAACCCAACUGAGUCUCUGACUCGAAGGAAGGAAAUCAUUGACCAGAUUCGGCAAGCAUCGGAAACAUAUAGUUUCUUCUAGGCAGUGAAUCAUGGUAUCCCUGUAGACCUAUUGGAGGAGAUGCUAGAAGGCAUUCGAAGAUUUAAUGAGCAAGACACGGAGGUCAAGAAAUAGUUCUAUACUCACAAUAUCAUCGGCAAGAAGGUCGUCUAUAUCUCCGAUUUGCAUCUGUUCAAGUCUCCCGCUGCCGAUUGGAGAGACACCUUCUUUUGCUCAAUGGCCCCUUAACCUCCCCAUCCGUAAGAACUGCCUCUGGUUUGCAGAGAUAUGAUGUUUGAAUAGCUGCUCUGUUAAAGGAAUGUGAAUCAGCAAUACCUUUACAACUCCCAGGCAUUUGACAUGCUAUUCUCAUUGGUGAUGAGUGUCAGCUUCCUGCAAUGGUUGAGAGCAAGGUAUCUAGUGAAGCUGGUUUUGGAAGGAGUCUAUUUGAGAGGUUGAGUUUUCUUGAGCAUCCAAAGCACCUUCUUAAUAUGCAGUAUAGAAUGCAUCCUCAAUUCAGUAUUUUUCCAAAAGCAAAGUUCUACUGCAACUAG